rnacentral:antisense_RNA from 1 species
CUUGAUGGUGGCUGUACGUAGGGCGCCCUUGUGGCGCGCCGGGCUUUGUACGGGCUAACCGGUCUACUAACCUGCGUACAGCUGCCACCCUC